rnacentral:rRNA from 1 species
AGCAGCCGCGGUAAUUCCAGCUCCAAUAGCGUAUAUUAAAGUUGUUGCAGUUAAAAAGCUCGUAGUUGAAUUUCGGGGUUAGCAGGUCGGUCGUGCCAUCGGUAUGAACUGGUCUCGCUGAUCCCUCCCUCUUGACGAACUGUGAUGCCAUUAAUUUGGUGUCGCAGGGAAUCAGGACUGUUACUUUGAAAAAUUAGAGUGUUUAAAGCAGGCUCACGCUUGAAUACAUUAGCAUGGAAUAAUGAAAUAGGACGUUUGAUCCUAUUUUGUUGGUUUCUAGGAUUGACGUAAUGAUUAAUAGGGAUAGUUGGGGGCAUUAGUAUUCAAUUGUCAGAGGUGAAAUUCUUGGAUUUAUUGAAGACUAACUACUGCGAAAGCAUUUGCCAAGGAUGUUUUCAUUAAUCAAGAACGAAAGUUAGGGGAUCGAAGACGAUCAGAUACCGUCGUAGUCUUAACCAUAAACUAUGCCGACUAGGGAUCGGAUGAUGUUAAUUUUUAAUGACUCAUU